rnacentral:rRNA from 1 species
AUUGAACGCUGGCGGCAGGCCUAACACAUGCAAGUCGAGCGAGCGGCGGACGGGUGAGUAAUGUAUGGGGACUGCCCGAUAGAGGGGGAUAACUACUGGAAACGGUGGCUAAUACCGCAUACUAUCGGAUAACCCAUAUGGGAUUAGCUAGUAGGUGGGGUAAAGGCUCACCUAGGCGACGAUCUCUAGCUGGUCUGAGAGGAUGAUAAGCAAAACUGUGAUUGAGACACGGCCCAGACUCCUACGGAGGCAGCAGUGGUGAAGAUGGCACAAGGGGCGCAAGUCUGAUGGAGCCAUGCCGCGUGUAUGAAGAAGGCCUUAGGGUUGUAAAGUACUUUCAGCGGGGAGGCUUUACCCGAAGAAGAAGCACCGGCUAACUCCGUGCCAGCCGCCGCGGUAAUAC